UACGGAGGAUGCGAGCGUUAUCCGGAUUUAUUGGGUUUAAAGGGUGCGUAGGCGGGAUGCCAAGUCAGCGGUAAAAAUGCGGUGCUCAACGCCGUCGAGCCGUUGAAACUGCCGUGCUAGAGAGGAAGAGAAGUAGGCGGAAUGCGCAGUGUAGCGGUGAAAUGCUUAGAUAUUGCGCAGAACUCCGAUUGCGAAGGCAGCCUACCGGCUUCUGUCUGACGCUGAGGCACGAAAGCGUGGGUAUCGAACAGG
rnacentral:rRNA from 1 species